rnacentral:tRNA from 1 species
GGAAGCGUGCCCGAACACAAUAAGGACUACUUUGAUAGAGUAUGAUAUAGGGGUCUGCCCUCACUUCC